UNGAAGUGAGAUGCUGUUCAGGUAGUCA
rnacentral:piRNA from 1 species